CUUGCUGGGCGGAUUAGUGGCGAACGGGUGAGUAACACGUGAGUAACCUGCCCUUGACUUCGGGAUAACUCCGGGAAACCGGGGCUAAUACCGGAUAUGAGCCGUCCUCGCAUGGGGGUGGUUGGAAAGUUUUUCGGUCAGGGAUGGGCUCGCGGCCUAUCAGCUUGUUGGUGGGGUGAUGGCCUACCAAGGCGACGACGGGUAGCCGGCCUGAGAGGGCGACCGGCCACACUGGGACUGAGACACGGCCCAGACUCCUACGGGAGGCAGCAGUAC
rnacentral:rRNA from 1 species